AGCGAUGAACCGCCGCCGCGUUGUUACGGUCGCUCCGUAAUAAUGAGGAAAGUCCGGGCUCCGCAGGGAAUGAUGCCGGCUAACGGCCGGGAACCGGUUUCACCGGUUACAGACAGCGCAACAGAAAAUAUACCGCUAACCUGCCGUAAGAUAACCCUCUACGACAGGCAGUAAGGGUGAAAUGGCGGGGUAAGAGCCCGCCGCGGAAUUGGUAACAAUUCCGGCAUUGCAAGCCUCAUCAGGAGCAAAGCCAACAGCGGUUGAGCGCCCGCUCCAUAACCGCGGGUAGGCUGCAUAGAAACCGCCGGAAACGGUGGUUCAAGAUAGAUGGCGGCAGCUUUUUUAAGGCAGGCGCGAACCGUCGGCCAGCGAAAAGAUACAGAAUCCGGCUUACGGUUCAUCGCUUUUU
rnacentral:RNase_P_RNA from 1 species